rnacentral:rRNA from 1 species
UAGUCAAGUGAAUAAGGGCGCACGGUGGAUGCCUUGGUACUAGGAGCCGAUGAAGGACGGGACUAACACCGAUAUGCCUCGGGGAGUCGUAAGUAGACAUUGAACCGGGGAUUUCCGAAUGGGGCAACCCACCAUUUGUAAUAAAAUGGUACAUCUAUCUGAAUUCAUAGGAUAGUUGAGGCAGACCUGGGGAACUGAAACAUCUCAGUACCCAGAGGAAGAGAAAGCAAAAGCGAUUUCCUAAGUAGCGGCGAGCGAACGGGAAUUAGCCCAAACUAGUAGGCUUGCCUACUAGGGUUGUAGGACACUCCACAUGGAGUUAUCAAGAAAUUUCUUAAAUGAAUCGAUCUGGAAAGAUCAGCCAUAGAAGGUAACAGCCCUGUAAUUGAAAAGAAGUUUCCUCCGGAGUGUAUCCUGAGUACAGCGGAACACGAGAAAUUCCGUUGGAAUCUAGGAGGACCAUCUCCUAAGGCUAAAUACUCCCUAGUGACCGAUAGUGAACCAGUACCGUGAGGGAAAGGUGAAAAGCACCCCGGAAGGGGAGUGAAAUAGAACCUGAAACCGUGUGCCUACAAGUAGUCGGAGCAC